UGCCCAGCAACUCCUAUCCCAACAUCCUCGUGGUACUGGCCGGGGUACGAGCAACCUUAGGGAAAAUCGGGUGACCGACCCCGGCAGGAGCUUUGGUCGUAUGCUGGCAAGGAAGG
rnacentral:ribozyme from 1 species